ACGGAACAGGCAAGCGUUGUUCGGAAUCACUGGGCUUAAAGCGCGUGUAGGCGGCCUGGUAAGUACCUUGUGAAAUCCCCCGUCUCAACCGGGGCACUGCUUGGUAUACUGCCGGGCUCGAGGUGGGUAGGGGUGCCUGGAACUCUAGGUGGAGCGGGGAAAUGCGUAGAUAUCGAGAGGGACGCGAGAGGGGAAGGCGGGGCACUGGGAUUUACCUCACGCUGAGGCGGGAAAGCGUGGGUAGGAAACUG
rnacentral:rRNA from 1 species